AGAACGAACGCUGGCGGCGUGCUUAACACAUGCAAGUCGUACGAGAAACCGGAACUUCGGUUCCGGGAGUAAAGUGGCGCACGGGUGAGUAACGCGUAGGUAAUCUACCCUUGGGUUUGGAAUAACCCGCCGAAAGGCGGACUAAUACCGGAUAAAAUCUUUCGGAGGGAUCUGAAAGAUCAAAGGUGGCCUCUCCAUGGAUGCUACUGCCUAAGGAUGAGCCUGCGUCCCAUUAGCUUGUUGGUAGGGUAAUGGCCUACCAAGGCUACGAUGGGUAGCUGGUCUGAGAGGAUGACCAGCCACACUGGAACUGGAACACGGUCCAGACUCCUACGGGAGGCAGCAGUGAGGAAUAUUGCGCAAUGGGGGAAACCCUGACGCAGCGACGCCGCGUGGGUGAAGAAGGCCUUCGGGUCGUAAAGCCCUGUCUAGAGGGAAGAAAUUCUCAAUGGAAUAAUACCCAUUGAGAUUGACGGUACCUCUGGAGGAAGCACCGGCUAACUCCGUGCCAGCAGCCGCGGUAAUACGGAGGGUGCGAGCGUUGUUCGGAAUUACUGGGCGUAAAGCGGGUGUACGCGGUUUGUUA
rnacentral:rRNA from 1 species